rnacentral:tRNA from 1 species
CGGGUGGAGCAGCUCGGUAGCUCGCUGCGGCUCAUAACCCAGAGGUCGCAGGUUUCAAUCCUGUCCCCUACUCCA